GUGCUUGCUUCAGCAGAACAUAUACUAAAAUUAAAAUGAUACAGAGAAUAUUAGCAUGGCUCCUGAACAAGGAUGACACUCAAAUUUGUGAAGCAUUCUGUAUUUUU
ensembl:snRNA U6 U6 spliceosomal RNA